AUGUCCCGGUAGAUUGUAAAAUGCAGUAAAGCAAAAAUUCUCGCAAAAGUUCACGGGUAAAAAAGUCAGACGAAAUAUAGUCUAAGAAACGAAUUUAAAAUGUUGAAUACAAUCAAAACGCGUUCUUCUGGCUCUUAAGUGUCUUAAUUAAGAAGGUGGAAGCGUUCUUCAUUGCGGAAUUGUUUUAGACAGUCAGAUUGAAAACUUGCAUAUAUCAAUCGAGAGUUAAUACAAUUCGGAAUUUGGUUUGCUGGACUAAAAUUCAUAAAUGUUUUUUUUUAUUUUUGCAAUAAAAUUACGUAGCUGGUCAUUCA